AACUAAAUUCAGGAUUGUCAAGAAUACUACAAUGUCCAUUUUAUUUCAAUAAUUACAUUGAACAAAUAUGAGCUCAGCAUGGCCGCAUGUGGUUAUUCUUGGAUUCAGUUGCGAUUCAUUCGAUUUUCUGUUGUGUGUACAGGAUUCCAUGGAACUAAAAUGAACGCGCAGGUGGAUUGACCUCGGUUGACCUUCAGAUGAUAUUCAUCUGUCCAUCGAGUACAAUAUCAAUCAACUAAUCUAACAUCUAUCCGAGAGUUUCAAGAAAACAAAGCCCCCUUCACAGAUUGAUGAUUUGAAAUAAUAAAAUCAUCAAAACGAGGCAAGUUUUUCUGAAGAGGCUAGUGUCGCGUAGCAGAAGAUACCUGGACGUUAAGGUUAAGUCAGGAUUAUCAAAUCUGGAUCUUGUAAGCUUACCUGCUGUGCUGCGGCCCAUUUUGACGUAGAGAAGGAACGCCUAGCUAUUCCACUUAGAGCUGACUAAAAAUGAAAGCACAAUUCAAGACAAAGUAUUAAUAAUACCUAGGCUUUGUACGUGAAAGUGAAAAUCUGGCAGAUUUAUUACCUUGAGCAUGGUGUGAGCGGUAGAGAUUGAAAUGGACAGAGACGAAUGAGAGACUGAUUAUAACUUAAGAAAUAUGAAGCUACCCGACGAAUGAAGCCUCUCUUGCCUUCAAUCAGCCUUGCAACGUUUGCUCGAUGUCUGGUGAUCUUGGAUGGCAAUUUUAAUUGACGUAUUCCAAAGAGCUGAGAGACGAGAGAGUCAAGGACGACGAACAGCAGACAACGUAUGACGUUCUUGGACAGCCCCCAGGGCUGUGGUUCGGCCUGGGAUGGUAAGAUGCCGACACGGGAACCAAAAGCAAUGUAAAGGUUCGUUGGUAGUACGUUGGUACGUACGACGUGCGUACGACGUCUGGGAAAUGAAGGAAAACGAAUUUGAGGGGUUGGAUAUUUCGAAUUUGUGUUUUUUAUAUCGGGCUAGAGAACGAGCGAAAGGUGACUGAUUAUGAAUACGUGAGGUUUACGUGAAAGUAACCAGAAAGACUCGUUUUAGUUUUAGAAGUGAUUUUUUUCAGAUAUUUGCAGGUAUCGACGCUGAAGAUGACGUCUCAACCAACGAAUUCAGACUUGAAUUCGUUGGUCUCAACGAAACUUUAUUUCAAAAUUAUGGUUUGUAUACUUCUAAGUUUAUAUUUCUUCAUUUAUAUGUAUAUUCUUUUGAAUUUACGCUCUACCUUGAGCCAGAGAUGCGCAGGGGUUUAGUACGUUGAAGUUCGGGAAUAAUUCAACCAUGCUGUAAUGAAAUGAAACUUCUAUUUUAUCUGGCGAUAAACAAGUCACACUGUUCAAACGGAAGUCUAUCAUGUAGACUUUGUUUUCUUAGCCGAGUUAUACAAAUUGUCUUGCCUCGAAUUUUCAGUCAACGCUUGCCUCUGGUGUGUGUGGGUCCAAUAGGUCUUAUGUUCGUUUCUUUUGGGUGAAAUAGGUUAUAAAAAUGAGAAAUGUACUAAACAGUACGUGAUUUUUGUGAAAUAGUGAAGUGAAUUCCUUUUUCUUGUUUUUCAUACUUCUGUGUGAAACAUUUCGAAAAAUAAGUGCCUCACUCUUUUCACCUCGGGCUGCACCUAUGGUAGGGGUAUGAGUAUAUCUUGAACCUUAUUUUUUUUGCCAAAGAAGAGAAUAUCACUACUGAUACUCAAGUGAAAUGGAUUUUCAUAAUGUUUAUUUACAUAAAUUUAACACUUUCUGACAUAUUACGAACUUUCUCGAGUAAUCCAAAUUUUCCUAACAAAACCUUAUUACUUGGCUAUCAAAUACCAUACUUAUGUAAUACGACAUAAUAUAUGUAUAUAGAUACAUAUAUGAUAGGCAUAUAAAUAUACAUAUACAUAUCAAGAUUUAAAUCCGUGCUAUAAUAUAAGCGAUGCGAGAAUAGAAAUGACUUUUAUACGUGAUGUACGACAUAUAUGGGACAUUCGACGUGAAAAUAAUCAGUCAGAUCAUAUAUUCCUUCAAUUUUUAAUACAGAUACUCCGUGGGGAAUGUCCCAUAUACCUAUUUAUAUCUCAUAUAAUUAUACAUAUACAUUCAAGUAUGUGUAUAGUUAACAAUUAAUUACCUAUGUAUUCGUACAAUAGAUCAUAAUUAUGCCUACGUAAUAUAAAUACAAGGAAGUGAAACCAGAGAAAAGUUGUUUUAUUUAUUUUUUUACUUUUUUUAAGCUUUUUUUUUUGUUUUUCUUUU